AACAGCGUCAGGGGAUAUUUUGACUCAGCGGUGGGGCUGUUGAACACACAGCGAAGACCGCUCGUUCUCAGAAACCAAGCACACCGAGAGAGCCACGAAACCAGAGUCACAUUCCAGGCAGUAUUACAAUGUGACUGUGGUGAAAUGGAGCAUGAGCCAUCCAGAGAGGUGGCGGUGGAAGAGUUGUACCUGGCCAAUCACCCCGCUCUCCGGAGCUGUCCCGGUCGCUGCUGCACCCCCUCUGCUGACCCGGGGAGGGCUGCAGACUACCACGUCUCCUCUGACACAUGUGGAGUCGCCAGCCACUUCUUUUCAUCAGACAGUUCACCAGGGGGGCUUAGCGCGAGGGAGGAUCACGCUAUUCCCCCCAUUCACCCCCCCAGGUGCCCCGACCAACCAGAGGAGGCGCUAGUGCAGCGACCGGGACACAUACCCACAUCCGGCUCCCCACCCACAGACACGGCCAACUGUGUCUGUAGGGACGCCCAACCAAGUCGGAGGUAACACGGGGGAUUCGAACCAGCGAUCCCCGUGUGGGUAAGCAACGGAAUAGACUGCCACGCCACCCGGACGCCCCGUGAAGUUGUUUUUGUUAUUGUGUGUAAGGUUACA